rnacentral:rRNA from 1 species
UACGAAGGGGGCUAGCGUUGCUCGGAAUCACUGGGCGUAAAGGGCGCGUAGGCGGCCUGAUCAGUCGGGGGUGAAAGCCUGUGGCUCAACCACAGAAUGGCCUCGAUACUGUCAGGCUUGAGACCGGAAGAGGUAAGUGGAACUGCGAGUGUAGAGGUGAAAUUCGUAGAUAUUCGCAAGAACACCAGUGGCGAAGGCGGCUCACUGGCCCGGUACUGACGCUGAGGUGCGAAAGCGUGGGGAGCGAACAGG